rnacentral:rRNA from 1 species
GACGAACGCUGGCGGCGUGCUUAACACAUGCAAGUCGAACGGAAAGGCCUGCUUUCCCUUGUGGAUUGCGGGUACUCGAGCGGCGAACGGGUGAGUAACACGUGAGCGAUCUGCCCCCAACUUGGGUAGAAGCGUGGGAAACUCGGUCUAAUUACCGAUAGGACUGCAGGGUGGUGUCUGUGGUGGAAAACGUUUUUCUAGUGGUUGGGGAUGAGCGCGCGGCCUAUCAGCUUGUUGGUGGGGUCAAGGCCUACCAAGCCGGGGACGGGGAGCCGGACUGUGAGGAGCGACAGCCACAUUGGGACAGGGACACGGCCCCGACGCCUGCGGGAGGCGGGGAAUAGGAGACAAGCGCAGUGAGCGGAAGCCUGCUGCAGCGCGGCCGCGUAGAGGAUGACGGGCUUCGGGUUGUAAACUACUUUGGACGGAAAGGAAGCCACCUAGUUGGAAGGGUGGUGACGGUAGUGAUAGAAGAAGCACCGGCUAACUACGUG